ACUGUGUCUGUAUGCUGUAAACUGUAGACAUAAUAUCACUUCAAGGAAGGAAAAAAGCAGAUACCUGAGACUGUAAGACUGUUCAGUUCCAGAUACAGUUAUUCUCCAAAAGCACUGACCAGAAGGAAAAACCUGCAAUCAGAAUUAAUGCUUUUGGGGACCACACAUAAAAUGUCUAAAUCAAUUCCUUCUGCAAGAACCAAGCAGGGAAAAGUUCCUCAGAGAAAAGCUGGGGACAGUAGAGGCAGAAACUCAAAGCCUGAUGAGGGGACAGAAAAACCAGGAGUUAUGGGUGCUCAGUCUGUGUCACUAGCAGCAGAAUUUGCAGUCACCACAUCUGGAAGAAAGUUAAGGGCACCAGAGGCUCCAAGUACUCAAGACUCAGAGUGCUCACAGCAGCCCUCAAAGACAUGUCUACAGCUGAGGAGGGCUGGUUCUGCAAAACCAAUAGACGAAUCUGGAGGAGCUACAUCUGAGGUGCCUGAAACAAUGCCAGCCAAAAGCCGGAGAAAGCAAAGUAACUGGGCUCCUGAAUGUGAGAAGGAAAGAAAGAUUCCUCAGAGAACAGCCAGAGGAGGGAGAGGCAAAGGAGCACAGGAUGAGGAGGGGAUAGAAGGCUCAGAAUCGGUGGCUAUUCUGUCUCCAUUAGCCCGAGAGCAGCUCUCUGCGCACUGCCCACACCCCAGGCAGACCGGAUCUGCCCAAAGAAGGAGAGAAUCUGCAGGUUGGUGCAGGCAAUUGCUGAUUGGAUGAGUAAUCUAGGAGAGUGCCACAGUCACACUUCCUGUUGUUUCACCUAAGGAGGUGAAGCAAAACCUUGCUGUAUGUGCUGUGAUUAUGUUAUCCCUUCCUGUUGUUAUUACUGUUACUGGGAGUGCCCAGUCAAGGGCCAUGAUCCUAUUGUGUUAGAUGCCAUACAGGCAAGUAACCUGGAGAUAGCUCUUGUCCCAGAGAGCUCACUGUAUAGGUCUAUAACAAGAUGCAGCAGAUGGAUGAGUCAAACAAAGAGGAUGAAAAAGUAGGAGUAAAAUGAGCCCCCUUUGUUUUGCCACUGGGAAGCAGGGGGGAGGGGGGAUCAAAAAAAUAAAAAACCCAAACACCAUAAAGGCUACAUUUUUCAUAGAAAAAAAAUCAUAAGGGGGGGAACUGUUAUGAAAAUUUCCAAUUUUGAAAAAAGGCUUUUUCAACAACCACCAACAAAGACAACUACCAACAGACCACAGCAAACCACCCUCCCCCCCACACACAUCCAGCAACCACAACCCACAACCACAACACAUUUUUCUUCAAAAUAUUUCAAUCAGAUCUACUUCCUCCGACAUAAAAUGUGUUUGUUUUCAUUGCUCCUUUGCCUUUUAAGUUUGCUACAUUACCUGUCAAACCUUUUCAUUAACCUAGGCUGCAAGGGCCGGGGCAGUCUACCUGUUGCGUGUCCAUACAGCACCUAGCAUGAUGUCUCCCUACCUUAGAUAUUUAUAUGCCCCCCCACCCCCUCAAUUACUGUAGUAUCUGAGCAUCUCACAGUCUUUAAUGCAUUUAUUUUCACAACACCCCUGUGAGUUAUCGGAGUGCUAUUAUCCCCAUUAGAAUAACAACAGGAGGAGAUCAUUCCUGGAGCUUUAGCUAGUGGGCUACCAACAGAUUGUGCAAGUUACUCUCCUGUCUCCCUCACUUGGGCGUCCCUCUUGGGUUCAGGAUAUUGGGGUAUCAAGAAGACACGGUUUUGGUGGGUGAGAUGGCUGUUACAGUAACCCUGGCCAUCCUAAAUGGGCAUCAUGUUUUCUUCCCACUGGUGGAUUAUGUGCAGAAAUAAUAAAGACCUUUCUGUUGGCUCAGGCAUCUGGCUAUUUUUAUUGUUGCUGCACUUGUUCUAAGAAAGAACCAGACACAACACUGGAGAUGAAGGUGGUUGUUGGACACUGAAGAAUGUUUUCAUAAUAUCAUUU